GCUUUUGUCCGCAAGCUGCAGCCACACAGGCAGACCUUUGAAGCUUGCUCCGUGGAGGGGCAGAGCUCAUUCCCAGGUUGACCCUCAAACGUUACGUCAUGUCCACAGGACGAUGUGGCCCAUGAAGAGCCCUUUGGAACUGAGAAACAAACUGUGUGCCCAUAUGUGAAACCACCAAGACCUCCAACACACUUGGCUUUAGAGGCCCCAGGACAUGAAGAGAUAGAUCAGUCGGGGAAAGCGAGGGCGUGCCUUAGGAUCAUGUCUGUAAAACGGUGUGAGGAGAACUCUUGGGUCCCACUCCAUGAUUCCACAAGGACACAGCAGAGGGGAUCCACAGACUAACUACCUGGCAAAUGUCACGGCAGAGGUAACGUUCCAUGACCCCAGAAUGAGGACUUCCUUAGACCAGUCUCUAAUCCUACACCUCCUCUCUGCAUGUGAUCACCUUCAUCGCUAAGAUGGCUCACCAGUUCACUACGGCUGACACGGACUUUAAAUUCAUACCAGUGUAAGCCCCAACCAACUCCCUCUUUGAAGAAACACCAUUUGGUGCAAGGCCAGGGUCUAAACUCCAAUUCUAGGAAGAAGAACGCCAAGUCCACUAGAAUAAACAUCCCAAUAGCAGGGUCAAGAUACAUAAAGAUAACCUAAGACAUUCCGCAGAGAAUAGAUAACUUAGCCAUCCUGUUUGUCAGGUGGGUUUGCCCCCAUGUUCGGUUUCUGUAAAUUAUUCCAGAAAUGCAGUCUUUAAAAUAUUAACUUGCUGACCCAUAUGGAAAUUGCCCCACACUCGCUGUAACCACAAUAAAAACCCUGCACACCUAGACUCGGGGCUCUCAUUCUGACCCACUGUGACCCGGAUGGGUAAGAGACCUCGCUAGUGAGCUCCAGCUCAGAGGAAAGAUGUGUUUGCAUCGGAAUUGACUCCUCAGUGGUCUUUGGGUUCCUGUGAUUUGGGCAUGACACCGGGAACAUAGCUCAGUUUGUAGAUCGCUUUUCUAGAACACAUGAUGGGCCAGGUUCCAUCCCCAGGAGCUGCACACAAGCAGGUGGAGGUGGAACCAGGAGAAUGGAGCUGGGAAGGCAACCGGAGUACAUCCUGGGCUGCCUGAGAGUCCAUCUCAAAGUAAAAGGUCAAAGAAACCCCUGCUGGCCUCCCGCCAGCCUCUCCUAAUCCUGUCCAAGACCCCGCUGUGUCUCACCAGCUCUCUGUGCCUGUUCUGUCUUUGCUCCAUUCAUUCCCAGUGAGAGUGAAGGAUGCUGGCCAGGACCCCAAACACCUACACAGUUCUCCAGUUCCUAGAAGGGGGAGGCGUGUCCCACAAGGCUGGGCAGUAAUGAGAUGGAAGAUUUGGACUAAUCCUGACCCAAAUGAGGGCCUAAUUCCUGCUGUAACCAUCUGUCAGCUGCCAGUUAACAGUUCCUACAGCCCGAGCUGGGGGGGCUGGGGAGGGGGCCUCUGCUCCGCAGAAGCUGCUGGGCUCAUACCUAGGGUGUUGUUUUUCUCCCUCUUCCUUGUUUUUUUUUUCUGUUUUUGGAAUGUGAAUAUAAACUUUAUAGAGGGGCCUGGUCUCUGUUCACACCGGGUGCUAAUAACCCACAGCUGAAAACAGAGGUGCAGAGGAAAAUGGGGAGCUGUGGGGCCCAGAAGGCUGCAGUUCCAGAAAUGGGGGGCACUGAGGAAGGGGGACCAGGAGAAUAUUUAAUAUUGAAUUUGCUUCUCUCUCUCUCUUUCUCUCUCUCUCUCUCUCUCUCUCUCUCUCUUAAUGUGGAAAGUUUUAGACACAAACCAGCCCCUGUGUUUAAGUCAUUAAACCAUCUUUAAG